CGAAAUGCGAUAAGUAAUGUGAAUUGCAGAAUUCAGUGAAUCAUCGAAUCUUUGAACGCACAUUGCGCCCGCCAGUAUUCUGGCGGGCAUGCCUGUUCGAGCGUCAUUUCAACCAUCAAGCCCCGGGCUUGUGUUGGGGACCUGCGGCUGCCGCAGGCCCUGAAAACCAGUGGCGGGCUCGCUGUCACACCGAGCGUAGUAGAUUCUCAUCUCGCUCAGGGCGUGCUGCGGGUUCCGGCCGUAAAACAGCCUUAUUUUACCCAAGGUUGACCUCGGAUCAGGUAGGAAGACCCGCUGAACUUAAGC
rnacentral:misc_RNA from 1 species